UGGGGAAUAUUGCACAAUGGGCGCAAGCCUGAUGCAGCGACGCCGCGUGAGGGAUGACGGCCUUCGGGUUGUAAACCUCUUUCAGUACCGACGAAGCGCAAGUGACGGUAGGUACAGAAGAAGCACCGGCCAACUACGUGCCAGCAGCCGCGGUAAUACGUAGGGUGCGAGCGUUGUCCGGAAUUACUGGGCGUAAAGAGCUCGUAGGUGGUUUGUCGCGUUGUUCGUGAAAACUCACAACUCAAUUGUGGGCGUGCGGGCGAUACGGGCAGACUGGAGUACUGCAGGGGAGACUGGAAUUCCUGGUGUAGCGGUGGAAUGCGCAGAUAUCAGGAGGAACACCGGUGGCGAAGGCGGGUCUCUGGGCAGUAACUGACGCUGAGGAGCGAAAGCGUGGGGAGCGAACAGG
rnacentral:rRNA from 1 species